rnacentral:lncRNA from 1 species
AGAUAAAGGACCCAUAAUGUAAUAUUGUCUUAAUUAUAUUUAGGUGUUCAAUCUUAAUUAAUUUACACUACAGGACUGGCUUAGAACAAUUAAAAUUUCACAUCAAAUUUCAUUCAUCUGAAUGUCCUUAAAUUUAUCAGUUAAAUUCAUAAAAUUUAUUCCUCCCAUUUUGAUUGUUCAAUUUUGUCGUUCCCAACUGCCGCAUUUUUCAAUUUUCGUGAGAAUCGUCAUGAUU